AUCUGAAGAUAGAUGGAGUGAUUCGCCGGCGUGAACAGACGCACUGAAGCCUUCGUGAUGCCGGGUUCGAGUCAAGACAGAGUAGUGCUUCUUGGGGACAUUUAAGGAGAAACACUAAUGCUAAUGCUCUGAUGCGGGCCAAGCUGCGGACUACAAACAGCCCCUGUACCACACUUUGGACACGACUGCCCUUGAAACCAACAGACAGCCAAGAGGUUGACAAGGACUGGACUUCAAAGAGGGCGCUUCUUCCCCUUGUGGACCUCCACUCGAUGACGCUGCAGGCAAUCAUGUGAUCUCUCUGCCUGCUUCAUUCCAGAUGUGUCAAGUCAAAGUAAGACAAAAACAGGACAUAAUGUCACAGUCACUUCAAAGUAAAAACACAUUUCUUUUAGGUAAUGAAAUACAUGUAUUGU